rnacentral:rRNA from 1 species
UACGGGGGGGGCAAGCGUUGUUCGGAAUCAUUGGGCGUAAAGAGCGUGUAGACGGUCCGGUAAGUCCGCUGUGAAAGUCGGGGGCUCAACCCUCGAAUGCCGGUGGAUACUGUCGGGCUAGAGUGCGGAAGAGGCGAGUGGAAUUCCUGGUGUAGCGGUGAAAUGCGCAGAUAUCAGGAGGAACACCUAUUGCAAAGGCAGCUCACUAAAACAUAACUGACGCUGAGACGCGAAAGCGUGGAGAGCAAACAGG